CCCAACCCCCCAAUCUACCCAAAAUUUAUUUCCCACCAAAAUUUUACUCUCCCAUUUGCUUUUUCUAAAAAUUUUACUUCCAAAAACCCUCAAAACCUUUUAUUUUCCCCCAAAAUUUUUACUCCCUCUCACUUUUUCCCUAAAACUUUUAUUCCCUUCCCAUCUCACCUCCCAUCUAUCCCAAACCCUCCCCCCUCCAAUUUUUUUAAUAUUUUCCCUCCAAAAUUUUACUCCCCUAUUUACUUUUCCCUCAAACUUUAUUCCCCAAAACUUUUUAUUUUUCCUCUAAACUUUUACUUCUC
rnacentral:lncRNA from 1 species